UACAAUUGUUAUCUGACCUUGUAUGAAAAUUUCUCUUAGACUUGAUUCGUAAGCAUGAUAAGAUGUAUCGGAAUAAAUUUAAGAAACAAUUAAUGAUAAAAAUUGAUGAAUAGUCUUAGAUAAGAGUAUUAUUAACCUGAUGAUGGGAACAUUUCCCGAAACGUCGUUAUAAUUGGAGUUUUAGAAAUAAAGGAGGGAAUGAUGUCACAA